rnacentral:rRNA from 1 species
GACGAACGCUGGCGGCGUGCCUAAUACAUGCAAGUCGAACGAACCGCGACUAGGUGCUUGCACUUGGUCAAGGUGAGUGGCGAACGGGUGAGUAACACGUGGGUAACCUACCUCAUAGUGGGGGAUAACAGUCGGAAACGACUGCUAAUACCGCAUAGGACAUAGGAUCACAUGAUCCAGUGAGGAAAGGUGGCGCAAGCUAUCGCUAAGAGAUGGACCCGCGGUGCAUUAGCUAGUUGGUAGGGUAAAGGCCUACCAAGGCGAUGAUGCAUAGCCGACCUGAGAGGGGGAUCGUCCACAGUGGGACUGAGACACGGCCCAAACUCCGACGGGAGGCCGCAGUAGGGAAUCUUCCGCAAUGGACGCAAGUCUGACGGAGCAACGCCGCGUGAGUGAAGAAGGUCUUCGGAUCGUAAAGCUCUGUUGCUAGAGAAGAACAGCGCAUAGAGUAACUGUUAUGCGUGUGACAGUAUCUAACCAGAAAGCCACGGCUAACUACGUG